GCGCGUGUCAGGUUUUGAGCUGCCGCGGUCCCGAGACUGAGGUGGGUGGCGGGGUCCGCCCGUCUUGGGUGUCACUCCUCGCCAAACCUUUAGCUCAGGUCUUAAUGAAUGUCCUCUCGGUGGUUCUAAUCCGAGCUCCAGCCCCACGGGUUACUGCAGGGGCGGGACCACCUGGCCCAACCUCUGCCUUGGUCCAACACCCCCCGGGUUCCUCCAGGGCCUUGGUCCAACGCCCCUCGGAGGUUUCAGCCCAUUUCACAGACCGGGCCGCAGGGCCCCGGCGUAGGCCUCGGGACCGGAGAGACCCUCGCGGGGAGUUGAACAGGGCUGCGGCCGCCGCGCCCCGGGCGGCGACGUCACCGCCCUUGCUGGUGUUUGGUCGCCUCGCGCCGCGCGCCCUUCAAACCUUUUCUCCCCGUGGCUGUCGGCGCCCGCUGGGCGGGAGGCCUAUUCGGAGGCGGCCGCUCUGCGCCUCGGCGUUUCCUCCAAGGCUGCCCACCAGAAGGACCUGCCCGAGAGGGUAGAGGGAGGGCAUAGGGUCAAGAUCAAGGUCAGAGGCCCCCUUGGGUUGGGAGAGGACACGGAAGGGGUUAGGAGCCCAGGAACUGGGGUCGCAAGAGACCCAAGAUCUGACUUGAGAGGCCUGAAAAUGCCUGUGCAAUUCUGCUUCAGCCCGGGUGCAGCAGCGGCUCACGCCUGUAAUCCCAACACUUCGGGAGGCCGAGGCGGGCGGAUCACUCGAGCCCAGGAAUUUGAGACCAGCCUGGGCAGCAUAGCGAGACCCCUGUCUGUAUUAAUAUAUUUAAAAAAAAAAAAAAAAAAGGCCCGCUCCAGCCGAAUCUGCUUGAAGUUGGCGUUGCUGUUGUAACCACCAGACUGUGUUUGUCUCCCCAUUUAACGGUUAGCUCCUUGGCAGCAGACAGCUGUCCUCACUGGCAGAGGAGGAGCGCUCAGUAAAUGCUCGCUGGACGAAUAAAUGGCUAGAUAAGAUAAGGCAGCUCCAGUCCCUGGAAGGCCAGAGACUUGUCAGUGUCCCACUAGCGGGCUCUUCGCAAGAAUCCCCCCGGGCCCGCCGCAGCCAGGUGGCGGCCGGCAGAGGGCGCUGCUCGGGCAUGGCGGAGGAGCGGCCGGGGCCCUGGUUCGGCUUCGGUUUCUGCGGCUUCGGGCAGGAGCUGGGCUCCGGACGCGGGCGCCAGGUGCACAGCCCCAGUCCGCUGCGGGCGGGCGUCGACAUCUGCCGCGUGAGCGCGAGCUGGAGCUACACCGCUUUCGUGACCCGUGGAGGCCGCUUGGAGCUGUCGGGCUCAGCCAGCGGCGCGGCGGGCCGCUGCAAGGACGCGUGGGCCUCGGAGGGGCUCCUCGCGGUGCUGCGUGCCGGGCCGGGGCGGGAGGCGUUACUGCAGGUCUGGGCGCCCGAAUCGGCGCUGCGUGGGGAGCCCUUGUGGGCCCAGAAUGUGGUGCCCGAGGCCGAAGGGGAAGACGAUCCGGUCGGUGAGGCCCAGGCUGGGAGCCUACCCCUGCUGCCCUGCGCCCGUGCCUACGUGAGCCCGCGGGCGCCCUUCUACCGGCCUCUGGCUCCGGAGCUGCGGGCACGCCAGCUGGAGCUGGGCGCCGAGCACGCGUUGCUGCUGGACGCUGCUGGCCAGGUGUUCUCCUGGGGCGGGGGCAGGCAUGGACAGCUGGGCCAUGGGACCCUGGAGGCAGAGCUGGAGCCACGGCUGUUGGAGGCGUUGCAGGGCCUAGUCAUGGCUGAGGUGGCCGCGGGGGGCUGGCAUUCUGUGUGUGUGAGUGAGACUGGGGAUAUUUAUAUCUGGGGCUGGAAUGAAUCAGGGCAGCUGGCCCUGCCUACCAGGAACCUGGCAGAGGAUGGAGAGACUGUCGCAAGGGAAGAACUGAAUGAAGAUGGUUCUCAGGUGAAGAGAACGGAUGGGGCUGAGGAUGGAGCCCCUGCCCCCUUCAUAGCUGUCCAGCCCUUCCCAGCAUUACUGGAUCUCCCCAUGGGCUCAGAUGCAGUCAAGGCCAGCUGUGGAUCCCGGCACACAGCUGUGGUGACACGAACAGGGGAGCUCUACACCUGGGGCUGGGGUAAAUAUGGACAGCUGGGCCACGAGGACACCACCAGCUUGGAUCGGCCUCGCCGUGUGGAAUACUUUGUAGAUAAGCAACUCCAAGUAAAGGCUGUCACCUGUGGGCCGUGGAACACCUACGUGUAUGCUGUGGAGAAAGGGAAGAGCUGACGUGUACCAACCAACUAAAAAGUGACUGGGGAAAAAAAGGAAACACCACACUAUAUCUUUUUGAAAUGUAAGUAUACAGAUUUUAAUUUAUUUUUAAGAAUAAUUGUAUAUUUUAAAAACAGGACACGUACUGUAUGAGUAAACAGCGUGGCUAACACCAAGUCCACACUGGUAAGCUUUUGAGAACCAUUUACACUAUGUUGACAGUAGUACUGCUGCAGGCAGACAGAGGAAGAAUAAAUAAUAGUGCUUCAAGAAGAGUAGUGAUUGAGAGGAUAGGUAAAGAGGGCGCUUCAUCGUGGAAGCUAGAGCAGGAACACCUCCCCAGUAGUGACAUGUGCAAAGUUCCAGAUCUCCACGACAAAGACAGCCCAACCCAUUGGAACAAACAGACUCCCAAUGUGGCUGGCAACUGCGGGGGUAGAAGAAGAACUCAGGCAAAGUAGGCACAGGAAUGGGGGAGAUGAGAGCCAGGGACAAACGCCGAGAAAGCGUUCCGACAAGCAUGUGUGUUCAUACAUGCAUACCCCCAACAAAGGGCAUUGCACUGUGUAACAGAACUGAACACAAUUUAACAAAGCAGCUCCCAGCCUUCCUGUCACCUCUUUGGCAGUAGGGCAGGCCAUCUCAACUUCGGACACACACAGACAUUCUCUUCAGGAGGAAGGCUGUCCUGUGUGGUGGGGACAAGGCUUCAGGUGAGAGCAAAGCUAUGAUAGCUACAGCAUUAAUUGAACAUGCCUAAACAAAAAAGAUGUUAAUUACUAGUUACAGGUAUACAUGCCAAAAUUACCCCCAGGGAUGGGCAUAGUCAAUCAUUUUCCUACAGUGGUGAAAUAAAACAAGCUUUGAUCACGCUUCAGCAAGUAGAAUUACGUGGUAGAGAAGUCAGGCCCCAUAUGCUAAAAUUUGCACUUCUUGCCAUAAACUUUUCACGUAUAUAAGUCAAAACCAAGUCUCCUAGGACCACUAAACCUGUGAUGGACUUUCAACUGUAACACUCAUUCACAUCUUUAAGUUAGGCCCAUGGUCAUGGAACCUGGCCAAGGUUUCACGCACGCCUAAGCUGAAGAAAAACUAAAGUCACCCCCAUAUAAUUAGGUCCAGUCUAGGCACAGGAAGCCACAGCUGGUUGACUGAUCAGGGCUUCUCAGGACUGGAUGUUGGUUGAAUUGAGGAUUCCAGAAGUAGCAUCAGAUUUGGAAGCCUUUGAAAGUUCUCGCUGUUGAAAAAUAAAUAACAUCAGUGGCCAUACUGCCUCUCUUACACAUGGCCCACCCUUCUAAGUUUGGUUAAGUGUCAGCAAAAGGUCCCUUGAAGGUAGUUUCUCUGAGAUCCCUAGCCUGCAAUAGGCUGCGUUAGGAGUAAAAGGUGAGGAACUCUGAGCACCAUUCUAUUAGUCAUAGACAAGAGUGCAUGUGCACGCAUGCCUGUGACCCCUUUUCUCAGCCAGUCCAUUCUGUUACACCUCAACAGAAGAGAAAUCCUUCAUACAGUCAUGCACUGCAUAAUCAUGUUUCAGUUAACGACAGGCCACAUACACUAUGGUGGUCCCAUAAGAUUAUACCAUAUUUUUAUUGUACCUUUUCUAUGUUUAGAUACACAAACACUUACCAUUGCGUUACAAUUGCCUACAGUAUCCCAGGAAUAGCCUGAAUCAAAAAAACCCACAAUUGCCUACAGUAUUCUUUCUGUAACAUGCUGCCCAGGUUUAUAGCCUAGGAGGAAAACACCAUACCAUAUAGUUUAGGUGUGUAGGCUGUUCUGUCUAGGACUGUUAAGUACACUCUGAUAUGUGCACAAUGAAAUUGCCCCACAUUCUCAGAACAUAUCCCUGUCAUUAAGCGAGGCAUGACUCUACUUCACAGAGCUACUUUAGAGUUGUCAAGGUAAGUAGGCAACAAGCUUUGGUCUCUUGAGCCCUUUAUAAAACAAUGGGCCAGAACAUAUAUCUACCAAUCCCUGGGGCUGAGGCCUUGUAACCUGCUGGUGAUUUGAUCUCAUGCUGGAGCACAUGGUAUAGCAGCAAAAGAUAAAGCAUGAAUGGCUGUUGAGAAAGACAGAUAUUAGCAGAGGUUAGUUUACUGGCUUUGGUGCUGCCUGGUGGAGUCUAUCAGCCAUAGCAACCCAAACCAGACGAACCUACCUAGGACUAGCCACACAGAUAGGCAGGUACAUUUAAGCCUCAGAUAAAAUGGGCCUUGAUUGAACAAGCGAAAAAGAGAAAGCUGGACCUCUGUCCAGCAAUCAGCCAGAGUGACACACACCCACUUUUAAAGGUAGAAGCACCACCAGCCACGUAAUUUGAAAAACAUGCUGGAGUAGGAAGCCAGUUUCAGUGAUCAAAACUAGCUGCAGCCUUGGCCAACUGUUCCAUUCUCCAUACCUGCAGCGAUUAAGAGGGGAGGCAGGCUAGGGGUUUAACUCAAUAUCCCCUCAAGGGUGACGAACAUCCUCUCCUUGCUAGUAAAAUAUUGAGAGAAGAAAUCACAGAUUAAGUAAAAGGCAGCGUAGUUAGGUGUUAGCAAAUGUAGAGUAGGAUACUAGGAAGUGAAGAGCAUUCUGGAAAAACUUGCUUCCAGUGCUUCAUCUAUGCUUCAGUAGCUCAAUGUAUGGAAAGAGGCAAAGGUGAGGAAAUCAGCAUUAGCUAGCUGAGAAUAGAGCUGGCGGUUAAGCAGGCAUAUACUCCAGGAAAUAAUCAGCACACAGGCCAAGAGCCUCACUGUAGGCAGCACACAGCUGGGGCUCCCUUCCCCACGUGAUGGGGCCUCUAUUCUUUCCAGCUAUUGCAGGCCUUUGAUGUCACAAUUGGGGAGGGUCAAGGUUUUCUGUUAAACAUGAUUUAAAACUGUGCCUGACUUUAGGGGCUGAGAAUCCAAUUCAAGUCUGAACAAAUUUUAUUAAUUAAUCUGUUGUGAAUGUAAAUCAGAUGUGUUUUUUUGAGUCCAUGAUAGGAAUUCCUGCUUCCUUUGUAACACUGCCAAGAAUAUUGGUUAGUGUAGCCCUGUGCCCAGAUGAAUGAAGCCAGCAGAUGACAGAUCAGUUUGGAAAAGGGACGUGCAGGGAUUGCCAUACAGACCUGAGGCCCAACAGUGGAACUGUCAGAGAGGGACGGAUCCUUCUAAGAACAAAGAAUUAAGACAAUUACCAAGAACUCCACCAAGAGAGCACCAGGACAGUGAUAGAGGGGUUGCCUCCUGCAGCCAGGGAAUGUCAAGUAAUGCAGUGGGAGCGGGAGAGGAACAAAUCUGUAACUGUCUGUGAUCACUGACUUAUAAACACCACUACACUCGGACCAGCAUGUGUUUUCUUUUAGAACAUAUAAGUUGCAAGAUGGUUGUCUCUCCUUCUUCCUGAAUAAGACAAUGUACCACUGUUAUAAGAUUCCAAGUGAAUUCCUUCAGAGGAAGAGAAGAACAACAUAAGAAGGCGUGGAUGACAGACUUUCAGUUAAACUAACAAGUCAACUCAUGGUCAACAGAAAAUGGCACAAAGAGGGUCUCCUAAGGAAGGUCCCAGUGAGGAAAGAGAAAGAACACUGCAGCACCAUCUAUGCCUACCUUUUUCUCAGCGUUUAUAAAAAAAAAUUCAUAUUCCCUACAAAGCAAAACUAUGGUAUAACAGGACAACUAAGACUGCCCUGGCACCAGAGAAACUACAAUCUAGACGUGCUCUGCUUCCAGUCGGCCGAGAAGCCUGCAGCAAAUCACCUAAACACUUAAGGUCUUUGUGUGCCAUCCACACCCAACUGCAACUAGAGACUUUCAUUAGCCCCUUUCUGUCUCAGAGCUUUCGGUGGUUCUACAAGUCACCAGCCUGGAUCUCUAACAAUGUGUCUCUCCAAAGAUGUUAAUACAUUCACAUCCAAAAUAUCUCCAGCCACGAAGUCCCAGUUUAGAGGUUGCCCAUCCUUGUUGAAGAAACAUUUCUACACAAAUACCUGUUGCCUAUACCAGAUGGCCAUACCAAUACCCAAAUACUGACAAACGUUUAAAAGAAUUUACGGUACUCCCUUCACUUUAGAAAUGUUAACAGUUCAAGUCCAACAGAACUUAAAGGAAAAAAAGAGAAAUGUUAACAGUAAGUAAGGCAUUUAUUUAACAUAAUCUCAACUAAAGUCCAACUAAAGAGCUUCCCCAGGCAAACACUCCUUUUGCACUUCAUUUUGAAGACAAAAGAAUGCACAAGUUAAAAUCCUAAUAUUACCAUUUUAUUAAAAAUAACUUUUAAGAUCCAAUCUGUGGCCAAUAUUCGAUCUGGAUGCAAAACCCUGGCUUCCAGACAGGCCAGCCGGGGGCACUGCUCUGAAGGUCAUUACUUAAGUAUCCCAGUCUCCUCAGUCUGACAGACCUACCCCUGCCCAGCCAAUCUCCACAUAACAGCUAGUUGUUCAUAAUAAAUCCCAUCAGAUCCCCGCUUAACUACUCCCCUUCAAAGGCCCCACUGCCCUCAGGAAAUAGUUCAACCACCUUCUCUGUGGAAAGGCCUUCUAAAACCUCUCUCCGAGUCUGUCUGCUAAUCUCUCCCACUUGACACUCCCCAGGUCUCCGGCCAACUGAACUUCCUGGGCAUUUCCUGAACAAUGCCCCUCAAUAAAUCACAUGCAACUCUCA